AAACAAUCUUGCUCCCAAGGUUGAAUUUUGAAAAUUGAUCUUUAAUGGUAGAAGUGUUUUCCCUCGUGCCAGUCUUUUCUAUAUUCUUGAACACAGUUCAAUGAAAUCAUGUUCAUGGGAAACUGGAGAGAAGGCUUUGCUACUUGCAAAAAUUGCUCUAAUCUCAGUUGCAAUUUCCUUGCCAACUCUAUCAUCAAUGAAUAUAGAUCCAACAAUAAACUCAACUUCAACAUGUUCUUUACCCUGGUACAUUCUAAAAGUUUGGUAUAUCCAUGAAUCAAUCUGUUGAUGCACUUCAUGCACAAUUGGUGCUCAAAAAACUAUAAGAGGUGUUAAACAAGAGGAGACUUCUUGUUGGAAUUGCUGGGAGAUGGUAAACCGUCAAGUCUAAAAGUAUGUGCUGUAGAAAUCUGACCAAUUCCAUCAAAUCCAUUGUUGGCGUAAGAUUUAUGUGUGCUCUAUUGAAUCUUCGACCUUGCUUCUGGUGGUAUAUUCAUUAAGUUUCCCUUCCUUCACAGAAUAAGUUAAUUGUUCUAGACUCAUUGUCAUUAUCUCAAAUAAGAGGAUUAUAAUCAACAAGUACCAGGUUUUUCCCAUUGGAAAAGUCUACUUUUCCCGUUUUUCUCUAUUGAACAAGCAAGAGAUUCAGAUACUACAUCAUGAUGUUGAGCCAUAGUCACAACUUCAGCCAAAGAGUCUGCUUUUGGACCUAUGUCAUUCUUACCUUUAAAAUACUCAAACUGCCUUUUGCCAACAAAUCUUUUACUCAUAACAGUUGUCAACUCCUCCCAAGAUGGAUUCAUGGUCUUUUGGCGCCAGAACUUGAACUAGUGACUAGUGUUUCCCUCCAAGUUGUUAUACGCCAGGUGGAAAUCUUCCAUUUAAGAGAUGUUUUGUACCUCAGAAUCUUUUACCUGAAGUUAUCCCUCCUAAAGGACCAAUUCCCACAAACAUUGACAACUCCAACCUUUUAACCCAAGGGUGAAUUGGUUCUUCUUCCACUUUAUUAAAAGCAUUAUUGUCCUUGUUCUCCUAAUCAUAGUUGUUAUUCGGGACUGAUUGUUCUUCCUUCUUCUCUUCUACAUCGGUCGAAUUCUACCACCCAUUCGGACCCCUUUUCAUUCUUCUUGAUAACUUUAAGCAAUUCUUUAAGUUCUUUCAUAUUUUGUAUUGAAGAUCCCAUAUUAACAAGAGAUAAUAUUAAUGUAUACUCUACAAAAAUAAUAUAAUUUAAUAGGGGUUUAUUGCCGGCUUUUUUUAAAAACUCCUUAAAUUCCCGGCGGUUUUGUUAAAACCGCCUUAAAUUCCCAGCUAUUUUGUUAAAACCACCUUAAAUUCCCGACGGUUUUGUUAAAGCAAAUCAUAUCUGGAAAGAUUUUUGUUAAAGCAACAAAUAAUACUUUAGCAUGGGUAGUGUAUGAUUGGCCUACAACAAUUUUGUUCGUCUUUUUUCCUUCCCUUUAUUCUUUCCAUUGUUCGAAAGUUCUGCAUGAUUCUUGUCUAGCUAAUUAUCAGGCUCAACUACAUGCUAGCAUAUUCUUGGUGGGAUUUUAUGUUAAAUCAUUUCUAUUCUACUGCUUAUGAUUAGUUGUUUUCACCCUACCUGUCAAGGGGUGGCCAAUGGGAUUGUCUCAAUUUUUAGUUUUAAAGUCAAGGGUGGCCAAUGGCAACAAAUUUAAGAAGUAAUGUUAGAAUCAUCAAUGUCAUGCAGACUUGACCCUAAGCUUUCUCAUGAAACCUGUAUUGCUUUCCAUGAAUUGCUUAUAUCAAUUGUUGUUGUUAAAUCCUGAUUCAGAUCUUGAGUUGUAUUGGUGGCAGGAUUGUAAUUUCGUGAGAUUCAGAAUCUUGCCCUUUAUAUUUCUAAAGAGAAAGUUAUCUGACCAAUUAUGAGUGAAUGCAUAUGUAAAUGGUUCAGUCUUGAUCAUAUGGUUUAGGCAGCUAGAAGAAAUGUGGAAAUUAUCUCAUCUGGUUAUCUUCACAUAAUCAAUCAAAUGAAAGAGCUCAUAACUGGCAAGAAGGCCUAUUUGGUUAUGGGAAAUCCACCUGAUAAACUUUCCUGAGGUAUCUGUUCAAAGUGUACCAAAUGAUGAAGGCAAUGAAAAACAACAAAAUUGAUAAUUGUAAUUUAGAAAAUGUUUAUUUUAAUUUUUAAGAUUCAACAUGUUAUUUCUUAAGUUGAAUAAUUAAUUGUAUUUUUAACAUUUACUAGUACAAGCCAAAAGAUGGCUAAUUAUUUUCUCAAUGCACAGAAAAAGAAUUUCAUAAAAAUGUAAGAAUUGUUAUCCAACUUGAUGCACAAAAGAGUAGCAUAAAUAUUACAAAUUACCGUGCACAUUGGUUUCUUUCGUUCGGUCAAAACCAAUAAAUCCAGUCAACAGAAACUAGUCCACAUGCCUUAGGGAAAACUCAAUACUUUCCCUAAAUGAUCAAAUCUUUAAUGAAAGAAACAAUUGGAGUACAAGAACAAAUGGGGAAUCAAUUCAAUUUUUCACUGCAAUAUAUUACAUUAGUGGUUCCCUUCUAUUAAUUAAAAAAUUGUCAUGUUGAUUUCAGAAAUGUUCUUGUUGAGA